rnacentral:tRNA from 1 species
GGUGGGAUUCCCGAGCGGUCCCGAGCGGCCAAAGGGAGCAGACUGUAAAUCUGCCGUCACAGACUUCGAAGGUUCGAAUCCUUCUCCCACCACCA